AAGAGAGGCGAGGUGUCAUGCUUCCGGGAAGAAAGGGAUGUAUUAGUGAAAGGGGACCGGCGCUGGAUCACACAGUUGCACUUUGCCUUCCAGGAUGAGAACUACCUGUACCUGGUCAUGGAAUACUACGUGGGCGGGGACCUGCUAACGCUGCUGAGCAAGUUUGGGGAGCGGAUCCCCGCCGAGAUGGCGCGCUUCUACCUGGCCGAGAUUGUCAUGGCCAUAGACUCGGUGCACCGGCUGGGCUACGUGCACAGGGACAUCAAACCAGAUAACAUUCUGCUGGACCGAUGUGGGCACAUUCGCCUGGCAGAUUUUGGCUCCUGCCUCAAAUUGCAGCCUGAUGGAACGGUAGGAAGACCCUGGUGCAAAUCUCCCCGUGG
rnacentral:lncRNA from 1 species